UUCUCGUGUCCUGACAGGGCCCAUGAUCGCCCAACUGGACAGCGACGGGGACACACGUGCCACCUCCUCCAGCAAUGAUCCCAGCAUCGUCCACUCGGCCCGGGAUGCAAGGGAGAGGGAGUCCUCCUGGAGUCCAGGGUUCCAGAAAACCCUGGAGCUGGGGUGCACACAAGGACGGCCACGCCCCACUGCACCCCAGGGCGUCGCCCCCAGCCUCCGGCUUGCUGAGCCUCUCUAGAGGAUGGGCCUACUGAAUGGGGUGGACCAAGACCCAAGUGCCAAGUAUUCAGUGGGCUUGUUGGAUCACCUGCCUUUCUGCAUCUGUGACUCUGCUUGCCGCCCCCCGUGGAGAGGACUGCACAGCUGGCCAAUCAGGGUGCAGUCGUCGCUAAUAUUCUUUCCCCAGAUCAUUCACAGACGUCACAAUCCCUGUUCUCAUGACGGAAACCAGGACAAACGCACAUGGCAUGAUUAACCUCCAUCUUCCAGCAAAGCAGAGAAUGAAAAGCUGAAAGUAAAAAUGAACCCUUUUGUUAAGGUGUAGCUCUCCCUCUACCAAAGCACCCAUAAUAAUAAGAGGCCAAGAGAAAGUCAAGGAUGCUCUCCAAAGCCAGUUGUCAUCAAUGUCCGGACAGAAAUCAUCUCUUCUGGUGGGGCCACCAUGGUUCCUAGUACAGAAGCUGAAGUGGGUAAUUGUGCAUUUGUAAAAGGAAGAACCCAAGAUAUCCAGAAACCUGUGCUCUGGCUCCAGCUCUGGCCGGUUCUGUGGUCUGGGGAAGGCCUUUCCUUCUCACAAAUGCAGUCUCCUGCAGAAUGACAUUGUCAUAUCUGCUCAAUAAAUUAACAUCAAAUGGCUCAUGUCACUCUUCAAGUCCACUUGCCAAUAAAGAAGGAAAAGAAGUGAGGAUUAGAGGAAGGCUAGGGGAAUCAUCUUGCAACUAUCAAGAGGACCAACACCCAAAUUUCAAAGUGUGUUACUUUUGUGCUUUUUGAGAGCCUAUUUUCUAUAUCUCUGAUCACCUCUAGUGCUCUUUUCUGAAUCCCUUCUAGUUUUCAAUGUCUUUUUUAUGGGUGUUAAUCACAAUUACUCAUCAUUCUGAUCAGUGUUCAAGGGAGUAACAAUAUAUCAUAUAAGAAUUACUUUCCAUUCUCUGCAAGUCAUAUGAGUAUCCUUUAUUAGAACCGUGGCUAACUCUUUUUUUUUGCUUCUAAUAACACUAACUUGUUAUUUCACAUUCAGCCUGUGGUUAGCUAAG